rnacentral:rRNA from 1 species
UACGUAGGUGGCAAGCGUUGUCCGGAAUUAUUGGGCGUAAAGCGCGCGCAGGCGGUCCUUUAAGUCUGAUGUGAAAGCCCACGGCUCAACCGUGGAGGGUCAUUGGAAACUGGGGGACUUGAGUACAGAAGAGAAGAGUGGAAUUCCACGUGUAGCGGUGAAAUGCGUAGAGAUCCGGAGGAACACCAGUGGCGAAGGCGACACGCUGGGCCGUACCUGACGCUAAAGCGCGACAGCAUGGGGAGCAAACGGG